CGCGUAGGCGGGCGACCAAGUCAGGGGUGAAAUCGUUCGGCCCAACCGGACAAGGGCCCCUGAUACUGGUUGUCUCGAGGGAGGUAGGGGUCGAUGGAACUUCCGGUGGAGCGGUGAAAUGCGUAGAUAUCGGAAGGAACGCCGGUGGCGAAAGCGAUCGACUGGACCUCUUCUGACGCUGAGGCGCGAAAGCCAGGGGAGCAAACG
rnacentral:rRNA from 1 species